GACGAACGCUGGCGGCGUGCUUAACACAUGCAAGUCGAACGGAAAGGCCCUGCUUUUGUGGGGUGCUCGAGUGGCGAACGGGUGAGUAACACGUGAGUAACCUGCCCUUGACUUUGGGAUAACUUCAGGAAACUGGGGCUAAUACCGGAUAGGAGCUCCUGCUGCAUGGUGGGGGUUGGAAAGUUUCGGCGGUUGGGGAUGGACUCGCGGCUUAUCCGCUUGUUGGUGGGGUAGUGGCUUACCAAGGCUUUGACGGGUAGCCGGCCUGAGAGGGUGACCGGCGACAGUGGGACUGAGAUACGGCCCAGACGCCUACGGGAGGCAGCAGGGGGGAAUAUUGCACAACGGGCGGAAGCGUGAUGCAGCAGCGCCGCGUGCGUGAUGACGGCCUUCGGGUUGUAAACCGCUUUCGCCUGAGACGAAGCGUGAGUGACGGUAAUGGGUAAAGAAGCACCGGCUAACUACGUG
rnacentral:rRNA from 1 species